GCCUCCGUCCUGCAUGCUCCCAAUCUCCAUCUCGGUUGAUCUUGGAAGCUAAGCAGGGUUGGGCCUGGUGAGCUUGGUUAAGAGACUGUCUGGGAAUACUGAGCAGUAUAGGCU
rnacentral:rRNA from 1 species